rnacentral:rRNA from 1 species
GCCAGCCCGCUCAGAACUUAAAUGAAUUGACGGGGCCCGCACAAGCGGAGGAACAUGUGGUUUAAUUCGAUGAUACGCGAGGAACUUACCUGGGCUAGAACGCAAUCGGAAUCAGGCCGAAAGGUCUGCGCCAGCGAUGGCCGGUUGCGAGGUGCUGCAUGGUUGUCGUCAGCUCGUGCCGUGAGGUGUCGGGUUAAGUCCCAUAACGAGCGCAACCCCUACUGCUAGUUGCCAGCGGGUCAUGCCGGGGACUCUAGCGGAACUGCCAGCGUAAGCUGCGAGGAAGGUGGGGAUGACGUCAAAUCAGCACGGCCCUUACGUCCAGGGCUACACACGUGUUACAAUGGCCAGUACAGAGGGCAGCCACCCCGCGAGGGGGCGCUAAUCCUAAAAGCUGGUCCCAGUUCGGAUCGGAGUCUGCAACCCGACUCCGUGAAGCUGGAUUCGCUAGUAAUCGCGCAUCAGCCACGGCGCGGUGAAUACGUUCCCGGGCCUU